CAGGUUCUCGGCCAUGAGCUUCAUGUGCUGUUGAGAGAACACAGGACACUGGCCACAGGACCACGCCCGGCCAUCCAGCGCCACCGGGGGCAUCCUAUGAAAUCUCGCUGAGGGCCAGGCCGUGACGGAGGCGCAGCCCGCCAGGCUCAGAGGGGAGUGUCGGAAGGAGCCCGGGCCCCAGGGCCCCAGGGCGAGGCGGCAGCCGUGGGGGAGGAGGUCCUGGGUCCCCACCCUCGCAGCCCCCUGUCCUGUGGGUGCUGGAAAACACGACUGUGGCUCUGCUUGUUUGCUGAAAAACUGAGUAACUCCUUUGGAAUUUGGCCUAAAAUACACACGCUGAUUUUCGAUAACCGUUACUUACGGGAAACACAAAACUGUGCGCACAAAGUCCGCCGCUGCCCCAGGAACCUGGCCGCCCCUGUGGGAGGCCCCGGCCCCACGCGGGGCUGGACAGCACACCACGUGCCCUCUGGCUUUCACGGCGAGGAACCCCUUUCGUGGACUAUCAUCAAGAGCCUCCGUCUUCCGCUUCAACCCCAUCUCCCCUUGUGAGGACCCUCAGAUCUGCCGGGCCUCCGGAGACCCCACUUGACCCCAGACGGUUCCCUUCUCUGAGCCCGGCCUGUCUUCCACGGGAGGCGGGAGCCUGCGGGCGGCCGCUCUCCCCGUGGGCCGGGAACUGCCGGGCCUUUGCUCGUCCGCAGCAGGCUCUGGGAGGGCUCCUGCUGGGGAAGGGGGCAGGCGGCUCACGGCGGCCAGUCUGCGGGGGAGCGGGCUCUCCUUGCAGGGGACGCAGCAGGCCGACCGGAGCAGGACGCGGGCGCAGGAGCGGACCCUGGCCCGAGGACCCGCAGCGGCGAUGUCUGCACAACCUUCGGCCUGAGGGGCGAUGGUGACGGCUUGACUUAGUUCACCAACCGGGAGGAGCAGAACUGCCAGGCCACGUGAGGGUCGAGCCCACUUCGCCUGCUAACGGCUGAUGCAACUAUCCCCAAACAGCAAAACCGGCACCUUUCAGGCCGGAUUCGCGGCGGACUCUCCCAGCUGAUGUCAUUUAAUACUUAAGAGACCUUCUUAAAGGUCUUUUGAUGAGAGG